rnacentral:pre_miRNA from 1 species
CUCCGUUUGAACGUUCUGUACUGCCCGGCCGGUCUAAUGCGGAUUGCAGUCCAGAAUGUUCAAACGGAG